GCCCUGGUAGUGUAGUGGCCUAUCAUGAAACCCUGUCACGGUUUCGACCCGGGUUCGAACUCGCGUCCCGGCCAGGGCG
rnacentral:tRNA from 1 species